CUCUUCGACUGUAAGCUACACAUUUCGAUCGUGUCGGAUCGUAGUCUCGUCGACUGUCAUCGUCGGCGGCCAGUUGAGCUGGUUUAGUUGUUGGGGAAUGGGCAACGUGGUGGAGGCGGCGGCCGCGAUCUCGCCGGAGCUCGGGGACGCGCUGGCCAAGGUGGCCGUGUUCGCGUUCGUGCAGGGGCUGGUCUACCUCAUCCUGCGCAAGUCCUCAGACGUCUUCUCCACGGCCAGCGCGGCGAGGUCGCUCAGCUUCCGGCCGAUGCGGAGCAUGAGCGUCCGCCGCGUGCUGGCGGCAUUCUCCGACGUCCCCGUCGGCGUUCCCGACGAUGCCGUCUCCUCCGUGGCGCCGCAGGCCGGUGAUGCCGACCGGCGGGCAGACUAGUUGAAGUGCUUUGUGUUGAGCUAAUGUGAGUCAAUGGUGCGUGCUUUCUUAGGUUCGUAGUUAUCGUUGGUAGUGGUUGUUCUUAAGAAAGGAUUGUAUGAUGAGCAUAAAAAAGCUUGUGUGUGUACAGUAGAUUGAAGUGCAAUGGAUGAUUCGAUUUUAUCUCAAACGAAAUCUGCUGCUGUUUCUGGCUGCUUAU